rnacentral:rRNA from 1 species
AUUGAACGCUGGCGGCAUGCCUUACACAUGCAAGUCGAACGGCAGCACGGGAGCAAUCCUGGUGGCGAGUGGCGAACGGGUGAGUAAUAUAUCGGAACGUGCCCAGUAGUGGGGGAUAACUGCUCGAAAGAGCAGCUAAUACCGCAUACGACCUGAGGGUGAAAGGGGGGGAUCGCAAGACCUCUCGCUAUUGGAGCGGACGAUAUCAGAUCAGCUAGUUGGUGGGGUAAAGGCCUACCAAGGCAACGAUCUGUAGUUGGUCUGAGAGGACGACCAGCCACACUGGGACUGAGACACGGCCCAGACUCCUACGGGAGGCAGCAGUGGGGAAUUUUGGACAAUGGGCGAAAGCCUGAUCCAGCCAUUCCGCGUGCAGGAUGAAGGCCCUCGGGUUGUAACUGCUUUUGUACAGAACGAAAAGGUUUCUACUAAUACUAGGAGCUCAUGACGGUACUGUAAGAAUAAGCACCGGCUAACUACGUGCCAGCAGCCGCCGUAACAC